UCUAUUUCGUGUUUUCUCCCUCUGUCUCUCCACUCCAACAACGAAUUCUUCACCUCACUCAAUUUUCAGGUAAGUCUUUCUCUCUCUCUCACCCACUCCUUUUUCGAUUUUGAUUUUUCGAAACUUAGGGAUUUUCUGCUGUUUCAAACCCUAGGUUUGAAAAAAAUAUUGUUGUUCUCUUGUGCAUUAUAGUCUAAUUAAACCUAAGUCUUUAUUUAUUUCAUCUUAGAAACAAUGAAUUUGUUAAAAGACAAUAUUGAGUUGGUUUAUUCUUGUUAGUUUGGUCUAUUUUUCAGAUCUAUUUAUUUUUAAUAUGGAUUAGUGCUAUGUAUUUACAGGCAUUCUUCACAAAUAUGGAGAAAUUAGAAAGAUUUCUAAGUUGCCCAUGUCAAAAUGAGGAAUAGUUUCUUCCUUGAGAACUGUAAAAUAAUGUAGUCUUUAUUUAAAAGUAGCUACAGAUUUAACAAUGCAAGCAUAAUCCUGCUAGGACCGCAGACAAACACCUUCUAAAAUUAGAGUUUCCUUGAAUUAUGCCACAUUUUUUAUGAUAUAGUUACUAAAAUAAUGUGUAAGUUUAUAUUGGAAUAUCUUUUUGGAAUAUUUUUCAGAUUCUUUUAAAAGUACAUGAAUGAGGGCGGGUUUGGGUUUGUUCACAGUAAUCUAAAAAUAUAGCUUUUAAUUGAAUUAAAAAAAAAGAAAAGAAAAAGAGUACUUACUAAUAUUUUUCAGAAUUAAAGAGGAGAAUUUAAUGAGUUCAUGGCUUAUUUCACUAGGUGCUUGAAUGUGUCUAUUUGAGAAUGAUUUUAUCAUUUGAGUUCUUGUCUUAGUUUAACAUUUCCAUUUGAUUUUCUUUAUUUAUAGGCGUUUGGUUCUUUAGAAGUUGAAGGUGAUAGAAUCUAAUUGAGAGCAGAUGCCAAUGGUGCCUAUUAGUUGGCUUAUGGGUAUUGAUUUUUACAAAAGUGAUGGUGUAAUAAUUUUUUUCCAUUAGAAGUACUGAUAUAUUGUCUAUAUGCGAGUAAAUUUCAUACAUUAGAUAUUUUUGAAACAUAUUAAAAUGAUUAAGUCCAGCCAG
rnacentral:lncRNA from 1 species